GUCCAGGGGCGGGAAUCGAACCCACAACGUUCCGCUUACCUGACAGAUGCCAUGUCCACUAGGCUACCCUGGA
rnacentral:tRNA from 1 species